UGAUUCUGGGUGAAGUGGGACACAAGAGACCUCAGGAAGGCCUUCAGAAGAGGACCUUUUUAUCUUGCACCUGCUUAUGCACACACUCUGGUUUCAAACUGUGGGGAAGAUGGUUAGGAGGCCAUGGCAGAGGGCAGCCCCAAAGAAAAACCAAGCCUCCUGGUAACAGCUGGGGCAUUGGGGGCCACACCAAGGAUGUCCAGAGGUGGCACCAUGUGGAGUUGCUGCCUCUCCACCCCUCCAACACCACACCUGUGGCUGCCUCACCUUCUGCCUCCAAUGUGUUCUCCAGCCUCCCAUUCUUGGCUGCCGCCACCUCUGCCUCUUCCUGACGCUGUUGCCGUGCAGCUUCCCUCUGUUUCUCCAUCUCCUCUUCCUCGGUGUCCAGAUCUACCCGCUCCUCCUUACUGUGCCUGAGGCUGAACACCAGGCGGUGCAGCUGUGGUGGCAAAACAGGGUUGAUUUAUAUGCAGGAGCUCCUUCUCCAGCCAUACACCUGAGAAGAAUGCAUCAAGUUCCCAGCUGUUCUCUUGUGGUAAGGCUGUGCCCUAUUGGAAGCUGUAUAGGCCUUUCCAGCCUACAGCCUUAGUGGUCAUACAGGUUACACUCAUGAGAAGACAGGCCAACAGAGUUGAGAAGUGGCAGAGGGUGGGGGGUGGCUAUGUAAACUUUUGUGGUGUAGUGAUCAGCCACCCCUCCCUCUAAAGAGUUAACAGGGAGUGAACCCUUGUCUUGACUGACAUGCUGACGAACCCCAGGGCAACCAAUCAGUACACCAGGUGAGUGGGACCUAGAGAGUGGUUGCAGGGAAUUCUGGGAACAAGAAGGGCAGUCUUUGUUAGAGAGAGGUGUGUGCGGAAAAGCUUAGUGAGGGGCAAUGGAGUUUUGUUCCCUCAUGGUCAAAGCCAGCUUGGAGGUUUCUCUCAUGGAAUAACUUUGUAGAUCCUUAAAAGAAAGGAUUGCAGAAAGUAUGAAUUCUCUUCCAGAGCUUGGUGAGUUCAAGGAAAUGGGAAGUUUAGUCUAGGUAAAAGUUUGUUUAGUCAGACUGUGUGUUAUAAUUUCUGUUUCUUGGUGUGUGUGUGUGUUGCACAUAUUCCUGAUACUGUUUUACUAUAGUUACCUGCAAUGUAGUUGAAAUAACACUCGCCUACGCCCAUCCUACCUAGAGCGUUGCAAAAGACUCUAUAAACAUUUUAACAAGCCUAAGACAACCUAUUUUUGUAAUCUAUUAAGUAUUCUUAACUGUGUCUAAGAAAGCCUCAAAUGGAAGCAGUCUGCAGAAUUUGAAUAAAACUGUUUUUUAAAAGUC